CAAUAAUUUACUCUUCUCUUCAAACUUGGUAAAGUUCAUCUCUCUUUCUCUCUCUUCACAUGACUAUACUCUAGAGUCUUGAAUAUCAUCAUCUCGAAUUUGCCGCAAGAUUCAAUUGAUUUUGCUGUAAAUUACAUCUCGAAUUUGCUACAAGAUUCAAUUGAAUACGUUUUAUCGUAUUCCCAGAUUAAAUUUUGAAGUUAGUCAAGAUUUUGGUGCAAAUUUGCUGCAAUUAAGGUGUUGGAGCUCUGGUUUCGUUCGUUGCCGCACUCAAUUAACUUGAGGUUGCUGCGGCGGCGGCUGUAAAUCUGGUAUUGGGAUCGAUGGUGGUGGUAGAUUUCUAUGGUGGGCGAACGCUACAUAAUCUCUAGCGACCUCAAAAUCAUUUCAAGACCUCUUCCAUUCGCAGUGACUCCAAUUGCCACCAAAAUCAGCCCGUCUAUCAAAUCCAUCUCAGACGCCUGUGUGCCUUUGUUUAUGAUGGCAUACAAAAAGUUUAGGUGCUCCAAGAAGCUUGAACCAUGGUGUAAUCCAUCAUAUCUGCAAGGUAAUGUCAGUAAUUAGAGAAGCAUUUUUUUUUUACCAAUAUCGGUCAACAGAUAAACAAAUAGUGGUUUACUUUAUUCGUGAUGAUAUACAUAUAACUAUAUUCCAUAUAAUGUUAGGCAACAUAUGUGACAUGUGAGUUUUUGUGGCCAAAAGCUUAUAUACAAAAAGUAGAAGAGAAAUAGGAUAAUUUUUUGUUGGAAUCUAUCUUUAUCAUAUUAUCUACCAAUUUAAUCGUGACAAGACUCUAAUAUUAUUUAUUUAUUUCUUAAUAAUUAAAAUAUUAGUUAAUUAUAUGUGAUGACAUGGAAAUCCUACGUGGACGCUCUAAAUGCUCUCCAAAAAACUCCCCUUUAUAUAUAUAUAUAUAUAUUAGAUUCUAUUUAAUUUUAUCCUAUUAGGCAGGAUGUAAUUCGGUUUAUUUCAUUCUCAUUUUGAUCGCUCACUGCCUUUUCCUUAUUGAAUUAUCAUUUAAAAUUACUGGCUAUUAGUGAUUGCACCCAAUUUUUUCUUUUGAGUUUUUGGUUAAAAAGUUCAAUUUAUCUCGAGGUUGAGCAUAAUUUUGAGUUUGGUGUUCCCAACUUCCCAUGUCUCUGUUUGUGUUGUUUUUUAGUUCUAUUUUACAUUUAUCAAGGAAUUUUUCUGAUGUUAUUUGGAGCUUUAUAUGAUGGGACUUUUUACUAUAUGUGCAUAUUAUUUUAACUCUAUGUGCAUAUUCUUUUAACUAUAUGUGCAUAUUAUUUUAUUCCUACAUGUGUCUUUUGUUGGUUUUUCUUUGAUUUGGGGUUGGCACGAGUGCUAGUCCUUUGCUUGCUCAAGCUGAUGUUGAUGGAUGCUUGAGGAUUCAUGGGCUCGAGUGAUCUUCAGGCGCACCAAGUUUGACAGCUAUUCCACUUAGGUGAGGGAAAGACAUUGAAGUAUCUGAGACCAUAUUGAACUGCACUCUUCUGUUAUCAUUUUUCAGCUCAGUUGGUGAAAUAGCUGGAUACCAAGCAUCCAAAAUAUUCACCCAAAGGGCAGUUAUGUUAGGCUUACAACAUAGGGGUCCACAAGGCUUGGGCCUCGGGAUGAGAAGGCGGCCACCACCGGGGCCCGUGUUCCAUAUCUUGUCCCACAAAAUGAAAUUAUAGCUGUUAAGUUUUUGUUUUGGAGAUAGUAUCCUUUGAUGGACUUAGCAGCUGAAGCUCCAAAUGUGGUGGCAGGCAGAACAUACGGGUUAGCAAAAAGCUCUUCCCCUUGAAUGAGACGAUUAAGAAGUGUCAUCCCAUGUCCUCCUGCUGAUUUUACAACAAAUGCCUUCUCGGUUCUUCCAUUUAAACCACGGUCACAGAGGACUAUCUUGCCUUUUACAAGGCUCGAAGAUAACGCUCCGUUGAUGCAGAACUCGACUUUGAUGCCUCCUGCUGUUUCUUUGUACACUAGAGGAAGUUGAUUUGUCUUCCUUGCACCGGAAUAAAGAGAUGAACACUUAAAAGUUUGACAAUAAUUGAACUCGAUUUGAUGUGUUAUUGGUCAUCUUUAGUUAUCGGCCUUCGAUUUUUUUGCAUAUGUGCAUGUAUUUUGAGUUAAAUGUGCAUACAUUUUUGCUUCAAUGUGCUAUUGUUACUUAAAUGUGCA